UGUUCUUCAUCGGAUGUCAUGAUCACAUGAAAUUACAAUACUUUUCUUUAUUGUUUUAGGAUUUUUUUUUUCUUUUUUCCUCUUCUUCCCUAGCGUUGUUUCUCCUUUACUAAGCGUCUUCUUUUCCGAUUUCUUAUAUUGCACGACACAUCUUUUUUCUUAGACUUUUUCUUCUUCUCCGACACGACGUAUGCACAUGAGGAGUGAGAGGUGGGCAGAAUGGUCGAGCCUGAGAAGAGAGGAGUGAAAGCUAUUAUAAGGAAAUUAGUAGAAGAAAAGGAAAAGGAAAAUCGGUGAUGCAAAUGUUAGAAGGGAAGAAGAGAAAAGAGAGAGAAAAGAUGAUAAUGAAGGGCGCGAACAAAAGAGCAUCACGGCAGGCGGUGUAAUCUUUGAAAAUUUCUUCGACGUCAUUUUGGGACUGGUGGAAGGAAUUUCCAUGGCAGAAACAUAAAUAUGUAGUCCAAUCUCAGAUUUUAAACAUCUGCAUUCUCUUAUUCUAUGUAUGUCUUAAUUUGUCGAACACUUCAACCACAUUCUUACUUUGUAAUCCAAAGAAUGGCUAGGCCUCAAACCAAAUGUUGGAAGUCCCAACUCAAACCUUCAACUCUUAUAUCCUAACCAGCUUUUACUUUGUCUA